rnacentral:rRNA from 1 species
UACGUAGGGCGCAAGCGUUUGUCCGGAAUUAUUGGGCGUAAAGAGCUCGUAGGCGGUUUGUCGCGUCUGCUGUGAAAACCUAAGGCUCAACCUUGGGCUUGCAGUGGGUACGGGCAGACUAGAGUGCGGUAGGGGGUGACUGGAAUUCCUGGUGUAGCGGUGGAAUGCGCAGAUAUCAGGAGGAACACCGAUGGCGAAGGCAGGUCACUGGGCCGCAACUGACGCUGAGGAGCGAAAAGCAUGGGGGAGCGAACAGG